rnacentral:rRNA from 1 species
AUUCUCAAAUCAGGUAGGACUACCCGCUGAACUUAAGCAUAUCAAUAAGCGGAGGAAAAGAAACCAACCGGGAUUGCCUCAGUAACGGCGAGUGAAGCGGCAACAGCUCAAAUUUGAAAGCCCGCGGGCGUUGUAAUUUGCAGGCGGAUGUUUUGGGGCGGGCGCUGUCUACGUUCCUUGGAACAGGACGCCGCAGAGGGUGAGAGCCCCGUGCGAUGGCGCCUCUAACCGCGUAAAACUCCGCCGACGAGUCGAGUUGUUUGGGAAUGCAGCUCCAAGUGGGUGGUAAAUUCCAUCUAAAGCUAAAUACUGGCGAGAGACCGAUAGCGAACAAGUACAGUGAUGGAAAGAUGAAAAGCACUUUGAAAAGAGAGUGAAACAGCACGUGAAAUUGUUGAAAGGGAAGGGUAUGCGAUUAGCGGCCAGCAGGAGGUGCCUUCUCGUGAAAAGGCCGUGCACCGUCUUCGGACACCGUGCGCGGAGAUGGCGAGGGGGCGCCUGAGGUCUGCGAACUCGAGGUUGCUGGCGUAAUGAUUGCAUACCACCCGUCUUGAAACACGGNACCAAGGAGUCUAACGUCUAUGCGAGUAUGUGGGUGUCAAACCGCGUGCGGAAUGAA